AUGCUAGCUUCAGCAGCACAUAUACUAAAAUUGGAAUGAUACAGAGAUUAGCAUGGCCUCUGCAUCUGCACAAGGAUGACAUGCAAAUUCAAGAAGUGUUACAUGUUUUU